AUACUACUCCCUCCGUCCGGAAAUACUUGUCAUUGAAAUGGAUGUAUCUAGAUGUAUUUUAGUUCUAGAUACAUUCAUUUUCAUCCAUUUUGAUGACAAGUAAUUCCGGACGGAGGGAGUACUUG
rnacentral:pre_miRNA from 1 species